rnacentral:rRNA from 1 species
AUUGAACGCUGGCGGCAUGCUUUACACAUGCAAGUCGAACGGCAGCACGGACUUCGGUCUGGUGGCGAGUGGCGAACGGGUGAGUAAUACAUCGGAACGUACCCAGUAAUGGGGGAUAACUAUCCGAAAGGAUAGCUAAUACCGCAUAAGCCCUACGGGGGAAAGAGGGGGAUCGCAAGACCUCUUGUUAUUGGAGCGGCCGAUGGCUGAUUAGCUAGUUGGUAGGGUAAAGGCCUACCAAGGCAACGAUCAGUAGCGGGUCUUAGAGGACGAUCCGCCACACUGGAACUGAGACACGGUCCAGACUCCUACGGGAGGCAGCAGUGGGGAAUCUUGGACAAUGGGCGCAAGCCUGAUCCAGCAAUGCCGCGUGCGUGAAGAAGGCCUUCGGGUUGUAAAGCGCUUUUGUCAGGGAGCAAAUCCUUGUGGCUAAUACCCACCGGGGAUGAGAGUACCUGAAGAAUAAGGACCGGCUAACUUCGUGCCAGCAGCCGCCGUAAGAC